AGCAAGAGGGGGAUGUGGUCCCUUCUUCGACUCAUAGUGGGUCCUGGGAUGUCCCUGCUGAUCUCAGUCAACUGGCCUCACUCCUUGCCUCUCACUUCUCUCAGUAAACCAAGCAGGAAGAAUUUGGGAGCCCGAGCCUGACAGCCUUCCUGGAGCUGCUGAGGCAGACAGUGAGGGCACUCUGGGGCUCCUUCUUGUGUGCUGAGUGAUCCUCUCUGUCCUCUAUCCCUGCCUUCCUCUGACCGUAAUGCUGCUUUAUGUCCCGUCUGCUGACCUGAGGGCAAGACCUCACCUGGAAGAUGUCAAAUCCACAGACGCCUGGUGAGAAGUGCACCGGCAUCUCAUCUGGACGAUUCUGCCUAAGGCUUCCUGGAAAUGGCUGCUGCAGAUAUAUUCCAGGUUUACAGACUCACCUCUGAGAACCAUCAUAUGAGUGUCUGGCAUCACUCCCACAGCUUCAUCUAGCCCAUCAUGCAUCUGGACUGAAAAUGACCUCCCACCGAGGAACUAGACGUUUCCCAAGACCCAAUGCCGCCUUAAUCAGGGAUCACUUUCAUGUACAUCAAGUUUCUCCUCCAAUACAAAUGGCACUUGACAAAUCAAAGAGACAGAAGUCUGCAAGGGAGGAAAUGGAGCCUGAGCAAGCUUAUCUACCUUGCCCAAGGUCACCCACGGCAGUCUGGUUCUCAAGACAAUGCCCUUGAUCAUGACCCACCUGACCAGUAUGAGGCAGCUCCAGCCCGAAGGAGCAGUCACAACCCAGCAGAGCCCUGUCAGUGGUUCCAGCCCAGGGCGCCCUCCUC
rnacentral:lncRNA from 1 species